rnacentral:misc_RNA from 1 species
GAUGAAGAACGCAGCGAAAUGCGAUAAGUAAUGUGAAUUGCAGAAUUCAGUGAAUCAUCGAAUCUUUGAACGCACAUUGCGCCCGCCAGUAUUCUGGCGGGCAUGCCUGUUCGAGCGUCAUUACAACCCUCAGGCCCCCGGGCCUGGCGUUGGGGAUCGGCGGAGCCCCCCGUGGGCACACGCCGUCCCCCAAAUGCAGUGGCGGUCCCGCCGCAGCUUCCAUCGCGUAGUAGCUAACACCUCGCGACUGGAGAGCGGCGCGGCCACGCCGUAAAACACCCAACUCUUCUGAAGUUGACCUCGAAUCAGGUAGGAAUACCCGCUGAACUUAAGCAUAUCAAAAAGCGGAGGA